rnacentral:rRNA from 1 species
AUUGAACGCUGGCGGCAUGCCUUACACAUGCAAGUCGAACGGUAACAGGUCUUCGGAUGCUGACGAGUGGCGAACGGGUGAGUAAUACAUCGGAACGUGCCUAGUAGUGGGGGAUAACUACUCGAAAGAGUGGCUAAUACCGCAUGAGAUCUACGGAUGAAAGCGGGGGAUCGCAAGACCUUGUGCUACUAGAGCGGCCGAUGGCAGAUUAGGUAGUUGGUGGGAUAAAAGCUUACCAAACCGACGAUCUGCAGCUGGUCUGAGAGGACGAUCAGCCAAACUGGGACUGAGACACGGCCCAGACUCCUACGGGAGGAAGCAGUGGGGAAUUUUGGACAAUGGGCGAAAGCCUGAUCCAGCAAUGCCGCGUGCAGGAUGAAGGCCUUCGGGUUGUAAACUGCUUUUGUACGGAACGAAAAGCCCCGGGUUAAUACCCUGGGGUCAUGACGGUACCGUAAGAAUAAGCACCGGCUAACUACGUGCCAGCCGCCGCAGUAA